AUUUGCAUGGUUGGUUACGUGCUGUGCGGAAGAAGUUCACCAUACGUGGUCGGUGACUGGGCUGACACCAUCAUCUUGCUGAACUCGAGAACAUGGUUUUAAAACCCAGGCGGUCAUCCUGAUUCGAUCGUAAUAUUUCAGCAGUGCCACCACCGAAGCUCUGAGCCACCCGGGCCACCUCAGGCUGAUCGAGGUUGUUUUGGAGGGCCUUUCCCGAGGCUCUGGGCACACAGAGCCGCGCACUCUGUCAGCAAACAAAUGCCACGUGAAGAAGACACGCGCCACCACAGGCGCAGAGGAGGCGAUCCGCGCAGCAGGCGAUAAGCGUGGUCACCACAUCUACGCCUCUAUAUAAGGAACGAAACGGGUGGACUUCUCCACAUAUCUGGCUGUCGCCUGAUGAAGCUAGUUGUAAUUACUGGCGAAACGUCGCACUCAGAUUGUAAAUGUUGUGGCUUGGCUCUCCAACACACCGGUGUCGCUGUACUAGUGACGAAUUGGCACGUUCUGUUUACGUGAAAAACAUUACUAAUUGGCUGUGUCGGGUGGUGGCGGGUUUUAACGACACAUUUAUAUAUUUACGCGACCUUACUCAAAACAACCUCUAUUAUGGAUGCGGUAGCACUUAAUACAAUUUGGUGGCCUUGAGAGAAAACAUUUUUAUUAAACUUUACAUUCUGAUUGCUGCAGCUGCUGUGUAAGAAUCAAACCAAUGCCAUUGCUGCAAAGGCCUUCUAAAAAUGAUAUAGCCAUCGCUAUUCAACGCAUUUCAUGUUUCCAUUACUGUACUCAUUUUUAUAUUAAAUUAGGUUGGCAAGUGCCCGAAAAAUGCAUUUGUUUGUUUAUUAGCAUUGUAAUCUUCAACCAAAACAAUUGAGCAAUUUUCACUGAUGCACAUUUCAUUGAAAUGUCUUACAUUUGGCAAAAGCACAAACCUCAGCAAUCCGCUUGUAAUUAUUUGCUAUUUCCCUGCAGAACCGCAGCCUACAUUUCGGCAGACGAGAGCAAAUUAUCCAUCACCUUACUUCAUCCUACAACCCUAAGUGCUGCUCGUGCAUUCAAUUAGGGACACGCGUAGUGCAUUUAUUUUCUUUGAUUUUCUUUCUGCUUUCUGCUCACGGGGGUUUGGCUUCAGGAUACAAUGAGUCCGUAAUCCAGGACAAUAUUUCACCCCUUCUGACCCAGGCGUCGAUGCCUUGCGCAGCGUGCAAUUUGCCUCCCUCCCUCCAAAUCUCAGAGGCGCGCGUACAAGUUGCCUCUUCCCGUUCGCUGCCGCGUAAUAAGGCCCUGAAAGAUGGUGCUCUCACAAGGGUUUUGGCCUGGCCCUGGGCUCAUCAUGGCUAGCGGUCGUGAAGGACUGGAAACGCCGUUGCUGUGUGUGCCCUGGAGAUUGGAGGCUUACCUGUUGUAAUGGGCAUCGCACACUUGAACCAUCACGAUCUGUCAAGCGCUUGUGUAUAUUCUUUAUAUAUAUACAAAAGUGUUAUUACACAUCCUCACUCACAUCGUAUAUUGCAACAUUUUGCCGUUCCGGGUGGUAGUACCAGGCAUCGAUGGUACCCGGCACACCGAUACUCGUCAGUGCAGGCGAGAGGACAGGGGUGCAGGGGCAUUCUCAAUGAUAUAGGCCGCAUUGCACCUCGAGUGAUGACUUCAGCCCAGCCAGUCUCUUUAAAAUCAAGCCGACACUUUUAUCACCCUGAUUUUAUUUAUUUUUUUCUGCAGGCGAUGGUGGUGCAUGCCUGUGGUCCGUCGAUGAGGAGACGACUCUUUGGUGGGUCGCAAAAAAUAAGUUGCGAAACUCCCCCCUUUCAUAUUCUUUGAUUCUUUCGGUAAAGUCACGUAGGUAUAAACUAAAAUAAGAUAAUUCACGACGUUUCGGGCGCAACACAAGUGUCCAUCAUCAGGUGGGAAAGCAUGGUCUGCUGCUGACGCAGACUGUUUUAAAAGGUUUGAAAUGGAUGUAACUCAAGGGUCAUAAAGAAGUGGCCGAGGCUAGUGAUGUUAAUGUGAGAAAUUAGCAUGUAGCUGUAAGAUAGGAGAACGGCCUCCUCGACGAGGGCACAGAAGUGGCUAUGUUAAUGUGAGAGAUUAGCAUUAUGUUAAUGUGAGAAAUUAGCAUGUAAAAGUAAGCUAUGAGAGCGGCCUCCUAGACGAAUUAUCUUAUAUUAUUUUCUACCCACGUGACUUUACCGACAGAACCAAAGAGUAUGUCGUAGAGGAUUUUUUUUCUACCAUUCUUUGCCAAGCUGAUCAAUUCGGGGUUUAGUGAAGGUGUGGGUGCAUAGAUGUUGGAAGAUAGCACAGUGCAAAAAUGGAUUUCUCUCCAUUGUUCUAUGCUGACAACGGGGGCCCAGCAGCAGCCUGUGACACCUGCUAGGUCACGUGCUGACGAGCUUGGGCACAUCGUGAAUGAUCCCGUUUUGGAAAAAAAGUGAAAAGGUUUCACUCUUUCUGCCAAUUAAAGAGGAGGUGUUGAGAUGUUCAAACACCAAAUCGAGACCUUUUGCAAGUCAUCAAGUCUGCAUUAACCACACGUACUUGUGGGUAACAUGCAAACACACAUCCUCUGAUAUUGUAUGCAUUGUCUUUGAACCUGAUUGUCCAACACCAGAGACGCCCUCUUUAUGGCGGAGUCUCACCAGUGUCAGGCCAGUGAACUCCAAAGGGGAACAGGACAAAGACGAUGCACGUAUCAGAACAUUUAAAAUCGGGGUGAGCAGCUAUAUCAUGGGACCAUUUUGCCAUUAUCGAAGUAUUCGUAUUUUCAUACUUUGAUACUGGCAAAAAGGUCCCAUGAUAUUUGUUCGUGGUUGUUGCUGCUCUCACCUAACACCACGGGUCUCCCUUGUAAUCGGGCAACUGGCUACACGGGAUCAUCCGUGUGAUAAAAAAGUUAAAAGCACACGCUCUGUCAUCGCGAUGUUACGCGAAACGCUAAAAGCGCAGCCCUAAAAUGACUUCCUCACGGCACUGCUGGAAGAGUGGGCCUCCACUCGACGAAUGUCAAAAAGUGGUUGGCCCGCUCUCCCAUGCUCGUUACACAUCUUCGGAGAUGUGCGAGUACCCCCACUUUACCCCACCACGUAACGCCUGCCAAUCAACUGUUACGUGUUCGACCGGUGCCCUAUUCUUGUUGCGUGUGGAGCGCCCGUACCGAUGGUCGAUGUCAUACAGGCACGUAACUGUGCUUUGCGUGACUAAGAUCUGAGCGGUGCAACUCCCGUACGGUCGCAGGGCGCUCGUGAAAUAGAGCCGAACAGAUCAUUAAGUACUUCCUGCUGAAUACAUCUAAAACAUCUCCAUCUGUUUUGUUUCUUGUUAUUUGUGCAGGACUCUCGUGAUGGUUUAGCACGUUACGGCCUUGUAUACAUUGACAUUAGCAUCAUUAUUCGGUCGUAUUAAUUCCUUCCCAAAGGGCUACUUGCGCAUUAUAUUAUUCAUUCGUCGGUUAUAGCUUCGAGACAGAGAAUGAAAUAAAUAUGAAAAUAUAUAUACAUGA